AUACAUGCAAGUAGAACGCUGAAGAGAGGAGCUUGCUCUUCUUGGAUGAGUUGCGAACGGGUGCGUAACGCGUAGGUAACCUGCCUUGUAGCGGGGGAUAACUAUUGGAAACGAUAGCUAAUACCGCAUAACAAUGGAUGACUCAUGUCAUUUAUUUGAAAGGGGCAAAUGCUCCACUACAAGAUGGACCUGCGUUGUAUUAGCUAGUAGGUGAGGUAACGGCUCACCUAGGCGACGAUACAUAGCCGACCUGAGAGGGUGAUCGGCCACACUGGGACUGAGACACGGCCCAGACUCCUACGGGAGGCAGCAGUAGGGAAUCUUCGGCAAUGGGGGCAACCCUGACCGAGCAACGCCGCGUGAGUGAAGAAGGUUUUCGGAUCGUAAAGCUCUGUUGUAAGUCAAGAACGAGUGUGAGAGUGGAAAGUUCACACUGUGACGGUAGCUUACCAGAAAGGGACGGCUAACUACGUGCCAGCAGCCGCGGUAAUACGUAGGUCCCGAGCGUUGUCCGGAUUUAUUGGGCGUAAAGCGAGCGCAGGCGGUUUGAUAAGUCUGAAGUUAAAGGCUGUGGCUCAACCAUAGUUCGCUUUGGAAACUGUCAAACUUGAGUGCAGAAGGGGAGAGUGGAAUUCCAUGUGUAGCGGUGAAAUGCGUAGAUAUAUGGAGGAACACCGGUGGCGAAAGCGGCUCUCUGGUCUGUAACUGACGCUGAGGCUCGAAAGCGUGGGGAGCGAACAGGAUUAGAUACCCUGGUAGUCCACGCCGUAAACGAUGAGUGCUAGGUGUUGGAUCCUUUCCGGGAUUCAGUGCCGCAGCUAACGCAUUAAGCACUCCGCCUGGGGAGUACGACCGCAAGGUUGAAACUCAAAGGAAUUG
rnacentral:rRNA from 1 species